rnacentral:rRNA from 1 species
GAUGAACGCUGGCGGCGUGCCUAAUACAUGCAAGUCGAACGCGCAGCGAAAGGUGCUUGCACCUUUCAAGCGAGUGGCGAACGGGUGAGUAACACGUGGAUAACCUGCCUCAAGGCUGGGGAUAACAUUUGGAAACAGAUGCUAAUACCGAAUAAAACUUAGUAUCGCAUGAUACAAAGUUAAAAGGCGCUACGGCGUCACCUAGAGAUGGAGCCGCGGUGCAUUAGUUAGUUGGUGGGGUAAAGGCUUACCAAGACGAUGAUGCAUAGCCGAGUUGAGAGACUGAUCGGCCACAUUGGGACUGAGACACGGCCCAAACUCCUACGGGAGGCUGCAGUAGGGAAUCUUCCACAAUGGGCGCAAGCCUGAUGGAGCAACGCCACGUGUGUGAUGAAGGCUUUCGGGUCGUAAAGCACUGUUGUAUGGGAAGAAAUGCUAAAAUAGGGAAUGAUUUUAGUUUGACGGUACCAUACCAGAAAGGGACGGCUAAAUACGUGCCAGCAGCCGCCGUAA